rnacentral:tRNA from 1 species
GGGCGUAUAGCUCAGUUGGUUAGAGNNCGUACGGUUCACAUCCGUAAGGUCCCUGGUUCAAGUCCAGGUACGCCCACCA